GAUGUGUAGGAUAGGUGGGAGGCUUUGAAGCGUGGACGCCAGUCUGCGUGGAGCCGACCUUGAAAUACCACCCUUUAAUGUUUGAUGUUCUAACGUGGACCCGUAAUCCGGGUUGCGGACAGUGUCUGGUGGGUAGUUUGACUGGGGCGGUCUCCUCCUAAAGAGUAACGGAGGAGCACGAAGGUUGGCUAAUCCUGGUCGGACAUCAGGAGGUUAGUGCAAUGGCAUAAGCCAGCUUGACUGCGAGCGUGACGGCGCGAGCAGGUGCGAAAGCAGGUCAUAGUGAUCCGGUGGUUCUGAAUGGAAGGGCCAUCGCUCAACGGAUAAAAGGUACUCCGGGGAUAACAGGCUGAUACCGCCCAAGAGUUCAUAUCGACGGCGGUGUUUGGCACCUCGAUGUCGGCUCAUCACAUCCUGGGGCUGAAGUAGGUCCCAAGGGUAUGGCUGUUCGCCAUUUAAAGUGGUACGCGAGCUGGGUUUAGAACGUCGUGAGACAGUUCGGUCCCUAUCUGCCGUGGGCGCUGGAGAACUGAGGGGGGCUGCUCCUAGUACGAGAGGACCGGAGUGGACGCAUCACUGGUGUUCGGGUUGUCAUGCCAAUGGCACUGCCCGGUAGCUAAAUGCGGAAGAGAUAAGUGCUGAAAGCAUCUAAGCACGAAACUUGCCCCGAGAUGAGUUCUCCCUGAGACUUAGAGUCUCCUGAAGGAACGUUGAAGACGACGACGUUGAUAGGCCGGGUGUGUAAGCGCAGCGAUGCGUUGAGCUAACCGGUACUAAUGAACCGUGAGGCUUAACCUU
rnacentral:rRNA from 1 species